GGACCGCCACAAGCGCCCGAAGUGCUGCGGUUUGCACUGCAUCUUUCAUUGUGAUAUGGGAGAUCGCAACGGACAGAGACGACCAGAUGCAUACGAACCACUACCAGCGGGGACCUGUGACUUGUGCCAUAUUUCUCUUAACGUCUCAGGUAUUCAAGAAAUGGCAGCAGCCAGAAGUCGCCAUCUUAUCCAGCACGUUAUGGGUACACUAUGGCGGCUCCUACUCCUGCGUCCUACCACCACCCUGUCCUGACUACGUCCACUAGGGAGUUGGGAGCCUUUGGCGGCUUCUGCCACUGCAUCCUGCCGCCACCAUGCCCCAACUACGUCCACUAGGGAGUUGGCAGGCUUAGUGAUGAUGCCAGCAGGCUGACAGCCGACAGAAAGAUUCAGGUUGCCUCGAAAUUUUACCCAAGCCAUGCCGCACACUUGGGCCAAGCCUCUUGCGAACGACGUAUAACCAGGCUCAACGCAUGAGUGUCGAGUGAGUCCAGAGAUCAAGGCAACCUGCUGUGCAACCAGCGUGAAAC